rnacentral:rRNA from 1 species
GCCAGACUCCUACGGGAGGCAGCAGUGGGGAAUAUUGCACAAUGGGGGAAACCCUGAUGCAGCGACGCCGCGUGAGUGAAGAAGUAUUUCGGUAUGUAAAGCUCUAUCGGCAGGAACGAGACAAGACGGUACCUGACUAAGAAGCCCCGGCUAACUACGUGCCAGCAGCCGCGGUAAUACGUAGGGGGCAAGCGUUAUCCGGAAUCACUGGGUGUAAAGGGAGCGUAGACGGCUGUGCAAGCCUGAAGUGAAAGGCGGGGGCCCAACCCCUGGACUGCUUUGGGAACUGUACGGCUGGAGUGCAGGAGAGGUAAGUGGAAUUCCUAGUGUAGCGGUGAAAUGCGUAGAUAUUAGGAGGAACACCAGUGGCGAAGGCGGCUUACUGGACUGUAACUGACGUUGAGGCUCGAAAGCGUGGGGAGCAAACAGGAUUAGAUACCCUUGUAGG